UUGAAUGAAACACUCUUGCUUGUAGGUGCACUCCCACUCAUAGACAGGGAGCUUAAGAUGUAUAUAAGCACUAGAAAAAAUCUUCUAACCUUGAGUUGGUCUGGUGAGUUACUCUGACCUUCUCCUUGUAACUGGUUGCAGAAAUAAACUCCCUUCUUUCCCAGUCUGCCUGCAUCUCAUUAUUGGAUCACCAGGACAAGCAGCCAGGCCUCAUUCUGUCCGGGAGCAAAUCUGGUAACUCUCCCAGGAGAGCUCAGCAGCCAGCGGCUCGCAAAGAGGUAGUCUUUGGGUGACCCCCAGCAGCUGCCUGGUAUGGUUUGUCCUGGGGACUCUCCUGAGGACCUUUCUGGCUGCAAAGACUGCCCGUCUCUCUAUUACUGGGAAAGAAUAGAGAUUGGGAGCAGUUGCACUCAAAAGCCCUGCAGCUAGCUGUCCCAAGUAAACAACGCUCUUGGAGUAAAUUGGAAACUCACACAGCAUGGAAACCACAACCUUCUGGACAGACUGAAAGGAUGAAUCAAACACGAAAACAGUGCCAAACUGUGCCAACUAAAAUGGAUUCAGGUACUCAGCAUUGUACUGCUUUGGCCUGGUGAUCAAGUGCUGCUGAAAGAAUAAAGAGAAAUGAGCCCAAGUCAGCAGCUACAGGAGAAAUAGAAAGGGCCCCAUGACAUGCUGCUGACUACCAAUUUGGCAAUGAAACUGGCUGGCAUCAAGCCAUGGAUCCACCACAUGCCCGUGAAGAAGUUCCUGCCGGAGGAAACAUUCAUGACACAGGACACCAAGGCUGCCAAAUGGGAGACAGAACCCCUUGAAGGCCUAGGAUUUCUGUUCAAAAGAUGAUAAAGUAUUGUUUUACAUUGUUACAUUGCUGCUUUACAUUGCUGCUGUUUUACAUUGUUAUUUCUGCGUACCUCUAACCUUUUCCUACAAUGGGCAAAGGUUAUGCAAAUAGCUUACAGCAAGACUCUUGCUGGGUCUGUGCUCUAUUACCCCUCUCUGGCACCAUGGGGCUGCCUUGGUGCAUCCCCCACAUACAAGGAAAAAUUAGGUUUAUAAUAUCUUGAUUUUGUAGAACACCUUCCUGGUGGCAGAAAAUUCUUCUUGUCCUAGCUGCCUUCCUGGGCAUGAGCAUAAUACUAUGUUGUGAACUAUAUUAUUGUUAUAUGCUGUUCCAAAACAUUCCUCAGGCUCACAAGAUCAUGUCUUAUCAGGCGCUGCCUUUGAGUCUCUAAAGCCAGAAACAUUACCAGCACCAGAUAGACAUCUUCCACUCUAGCACCCCUUGAUGACAACCCUCUUCAGCAGGAAGUAGAUGGAGGGAAUGCAUACCCACUUUCCCUUAGUCGGCUAUGUCAUAGUUUACACUUUUGCACUAGCCUUUUAACAAACCAGUACUUGAAAAAAUUAACUAACAUGCUAGAAAUCACGUACAAAUUGACAGUGGGGAUUGUGGCAGGCCAGGUUUCCAUUAGCAACCAGAACAGUCAGUUUUCACUAAUCCUUUACUAUAACUCUGAUGAAUAUAUAAGUUAAACAUUAAAGAACUGGAGAAACUGGUCACUAAGUACAAUGGCUGGAAUGCAAAAACAAACCCAUUAAGACCCCAGACCCUAAUGAUUAGAUACAGAUUGAAAGAAACACUCCUGCUUGUAGGUGCACUCCCACACAUAGGCAGAGAGCUUAAAAUGUGUAUAUGCACUAGAAAAAAUAUUGUAACUGCGUUGGUCUGAUGAGUUACUCUGACCUUCUCCUUGUAACUGGUUGCAAAAAUAAACUUUCUUUUUCCCCAGUCUGUCUGCAUCUCAUUAUUGGACUGCGAGAACAAGCCACCAGACCUCUUUCUGUCCGGGAAUACAGUGAACCCAAUAUAUCUGAGACAGACGGAGUCUCCCUCUGUUGCUGUGUCGCCCACGCUGGAGUGUAGUGGCACAACAUCUGCUCACUGCAACUUCUGACACUCAGGUUCAAGCUGUUCUCCUGCUCAGCCUUCCAAAUAGCUGGAACUACAGGCAUGUGCCACUACGCCUGUCUAAUUUUUUAUUUUUAGUAGAGAUGGGGUUUCACCAUGUUGGUCAGGCUGGUCUCAAACUCCUGACCUCGGGUGAUCCACCCUCUUCGGCCUCCCAACAAGCCAAAUUCUUGACUGAAAAUUUUAUCUAUUGUUAAUGGCACAAAUUAAUUACUAUAUAUUCCAUAAAGUCUUUCUUGACUCUCUCCACACUCCCUCCCUGGAGAGGUGAUUUCUCUUUACUCUUACCUUUUUAUCCUUGGUUAUUUUAUUAGCUCAUUUAUGAACUUGUUUAGAAACAGGUCCAUUCUUCUGAAUGUUAGCAGCCAUUUCUUAAUUUUUUCUCAUUUUUAUAUUCAACCAUGUUGAACAUGGUGAAAGAUCAAUAGAUAGCGAGGAAUAAAGGUUAAUACAAAUGAUAUUUCAUUCCAUGAUCUCGUUGGUUCAUUGAACCCAAUCACUCCUGUUAAUUAAAGCAAAGUUUCCUGGUGUUGCUAUAAUUUUUUAAAAUGUAAAAGUGCAAGAAAAAUUUUGGCGAAGAGAAAUUUGGUCAAGUAAUUUUCAAAAGAGAUAGGUAAGUUAGAUAAUAUUAAGCAUCACUGUAACUUUUCUAUUUUAUCAUCCAACAAAGCAUGAAGUGCUAUGUAAUAGGCAGUUUGAACCAUCUCCGAUAACAUACACCUGCACAAUAAGGCAAAACAGCAAAUACAUUGCCCAAGUAAAAAGAUUUGAAAAUGCAGUGUAAUCACAUAAAUGCUAAAUCAUUAGGCCCAAAACAUUCCCUGAAAUUUAUGUAGUAGAGAAAACGUAAGAGGCUCCCAUAACACUUUCUUCUCUAUGAAGCCUUUACCAAAUGAUGAGGACAAAAAAGAUAAUUACCUCCUAACCUAUUCUGAUUGAACAUGCAACUCUCUCCACUCGCCCCCCUCUUUUUCCUCAUCUGCACAUCAUAUAAAUGUAGUACUGUCUUUGGGUAGCUCCUUUACU
rnacentral:lncRNA from 1 species